GCAGUGUUUACAUUACAGCCUAUUGAUAACUUCACUGGCAACUCCUCAGAUGGCUGUUAGAGAUCCUUCCUGGGUCAUGGCUGCCUAAAAUGCAUCCAAACAGUCAGUAUCUCCUCCCUCUGCAUGCAGACACUGAACAUUCCUCAGAGAUUCAUUGAUUUAAUUCAUCUCUUUUAGGAGAUGCUGAUUGGCCAGGGCUGUGUUUGAAUUGUGCUGGCUCUGCCCCUGAUCUGCCUCUGUCAGUCUCAGCCAAUCCUAUGGGGAAGCAUUGUGAUUGGAUCAGGCUACCACUUCUGAUGAUACAAAUAGAAAAAUCUCAGGCACUCACUGUGAAUUGUAUGCAGGCAGAUUUAUUGCACUGUUUCGACCUGUUAAAGGUCUUUAUCAAGCUUGAUAAAGUGCCUGAGAUUUUUCUAUUUGUAUAUAUAUUCUUUGUUUUUUUUUGCUGACACAUACUCAGUAGCACCCUGGGCUGAAUGCGACCCUACCCCUUUUUCUCUACCACUUCUGAUGAUGUCAGCCGAUUGCUUGGUUUUCGGAGACUCACAGCAUGCAGAGUUAUAGCUUCAUGCUUGAAUACAGUAAGAUUUUGCUAUAUUUAUGAGGGGCCCAGAUAGCGGUGUUAACACUAUAGGGUCAGGAGUACAUGUUUGUGUUCCUGACCCUAUAGGGAUCCUUGAAACCGUACUCAAACAGUACUAGUAUAGUGACCAUCUUACUAAACCAACAAACACGAGAGAGUCUAAGUCACAUCUAUUCAAAUUGACAACAUAACCUAGACACUUACUAUUUACAUUGAUGAAAG